UAUAUAUAUAUAGUUGAGCUAGAAUACUUUUAGCUUUUAAGUUUUUAGCCAUUGGAUGGAGAGAUGUGAGGUUGAGAUGAUGAUGGUAGUUGGUGGUAGGUGGGAUAGUGUUUGAUCCAAAGGCUAUCAGUAAUCAAGGAGUAGAUCCAAGGACUAGAAACUUAGAAGCACCAAGGGAUUGGUAUUUCUAAUAGUGCGUUUGGUUCGAGUUAUGUAAUAUUACAGAGUAUUUUGACAUAUCCAGAUAACUUGAAUUUCGGCGUUAGAUUACUACUGAUACUGCAUUAGCGCGUUUGGUUUAAUACAGUAAUAUAAUACUGGAUUGCAGUGUUUAUAGCAUUACUACAUUUGUUUCAACAUAUAAAAUUUAGUAAUUCUGACAUAAAAAUAUAAUUUUUUCUAAAAUUGUCCUUGUUGUGGUCAUUUGAAUAUUAUUUUUUACUAAAAUAUAAUUUGCACUAGUAAAUUAAUUAUAUUAAGAAGUAAAAAAAUAAAAAGCCCAAACAUGAAAAAAAAAAUUAACGUUGCAAAAAGUUAAUUUCAACCCAUAAAAGAAAAUAAUAGGUGUUCGUGCGAGAGAGAGAAAAAGAUAGAGAGAGAACGAGAGAGAGUGGAGUGCGAGAGAGAGAGCGAGAGAGAGCGGCGUGCGAGAGAGAGGGGGGAGGGCGUGGGAGAGAUGAAAACAAUACUGUUAAUUGGGGUUGGGGUGUCGGAGGAUAAAAUUGUUAUUUUACAUAAUAUGUAGUAUUACCGGUUUUCAGUAAUGCAAAAUACACGACCCCCUCUCGUUAAUAUUUUUGGUGUAAUCCUGCUCGAUUUGUAAUGUUACAUUAACGACUAGAUUAUAUAGCGGAUGAACCAAACACGAAAAUCCUGAUAGGAUUAUCUGUAAUUCUGCCAUGAUAACUCGAACCAAACGCACCCUAAAAGUAUUUUAGCUCAAUUUUAUA
rnacentral:lncRNA from 1 species